AAGGGAAAAGAGGGUCAAAACCCUAGUUUCUUCAAAAUCUUCAAAUUGAAAGGCAAGAUGAAGCUUUAACUCAUAACCGAGCAUAGAUUAAUGAUCACCUUCACAAGGGGAUCGCAAGGAAUCAUGUCGAGACGGAAUCAAGCACGGAAGGCUAACGGGUCAAGAAGUGGCGAAGAAACAAAUAUGAAUACGGAUGCACGAGGAACGAGAAUAUCGGAUUCUUACGAAAUUUAAGCUCUACCUGAAAUAAGAGGAUGAGUGCCACACGGACUUCUUCUGCUACUUAGAAAGUGAAGCGGACGUAGAUCGAGUCAAGAGCAAGGAUUGCACGGAUAGAUCGGUCAUAUAAUUGAAGUGUAUAAC